ensembl:lncRNA
GGUUAAUGCGGUCAUUGGCGUCAAUGUAGUCAUUGAAGUCAGUAUAGUUAAUGGGGUCAUUGGGUGUUAUUGGAGUCAAUAGGGUCAUUGGAGUCAAUGGGGUCAUUGAGGUCAAUGGAGGUCAUUGUGGUCUACGGUGUCAUUGGAGUCAGUGGGGUCACUGUGGUCAAUGGGGUUUUUGGCGUCAAUGGGGUCAUUGAAGUCAAUAGAUUUAAUGGGGUCAGUGGGGGUUAUUGGAGUCAGUGGGGUCAAUAGAGUCAUAUGAGGUUAAUGGGGUCAAUGGGGUCAGUGGGGUUAAUGGGCUGUUGGGGUCAUAUGGGGUCAAGGGUAUCAUUAGGAUCUUUGGGAUCGGUGGGGUCAGUGGGGUCAUGCGGGGUCAUU